rnacentral:rRNA from 1 species
AACGCGAAGAACCUUACCCAGACUUGACAUGCGAGUGGUAGGAACCCGAAAGGGAACCGACCCGCAAGGGAGCUCGUACAGGUGUUGCACGGCUGUCGUCAGCUCGUGUCGUGAGAUGUUGGGUUAAGUCCCGCAACGAGCGCAACCCUCGGGGUCUGUUGUAUCUCUCAGAUCCCACUGCCGAGAGAAACUCGGAGGAAGGUGGGGACGAAGUCAAGUCCGCGUGGCCUUUAUGUCUGGGGCUACACGCACGCUACAAUCGCCGGUCACAGCGGGUCGCGACAACGCAAGUUGAAGCUAAUCCCUUAAAACCGGCGUCAGUUCAGAUCGAAGGCUGCAACCCGCCUUCGUGAAGUCGGAGUUGCUAGUAACCGCGGGUCAGCACACCGCGGUGAAUAUGUUCCCGGGCCUUGUACACACCGUAGUAC